rnacentral:rRNA from 1 species
GGUUAAGCGACUAAGCGUACACGGUGGAUGCCCUGGCAGUCAGAGGCGAUGAAGGACGUGCUAAUCUGCGAUAAGCGUCGGUAAGGUGAUAUGAACCGUUAUAACCGGCGAUUUCCGAAUGGGGAAACCCAGUGUGAUUCGUCACACUAUCAUUAACUGAAUCCAUAGGUUAAUGAGGCGAACCGGGGGAACUGAAACAUCUAAGUACCCCGAGGAAAAGAAAUCAACCGAGAUUCCCCCAGUAGCGGCGAGCGAACGGGGAGGAGCCCAGAGCCUGAAUCAGUGUGUGUGUUAGUGGAAGCGUCUGGAAAGGCGCGCGAUACAGGGUGACAGCCCCGUACACAAAAAUGCACAUGCUGUGAGCUCGAUGAGUAGGGCGGGACACGUGGUAUCCUGUCUGAAUAUGGGGGGACCAUCCUCCAAGGCUAAAUACUCCUGACUGACCGAUAGUGAACCAGUACCGUGAGGGAAAGGCGAAAAGAACCCCGGCGAGGGGAGUGAAAAAGAACCUGAAACCGUGUACGUACAAGCAGUGGGAGCACAGAGCAAUCUGUGUGACUGCGUACCUUUUGUAUAAUGGGUCAGCGACUUAUAUUCUGUAGCAAGGUUAACCGAAUAGGGGAGCCGAAGGGAAACCGAGUCUUAACUGGGCGUUAAGUUGCAGGGUAUAGACCCGAAACCCGGUGAUCUAGCCAUGGGCAGGUUGAAGGUUGGGUAACACUAACUGGAGGACCGAACCGACUAAUGUUGAAAAAUUAGCGGAUGACUUGUGGCUGGGGGUGAAAGGCCAAUCAAACCGGGAGAUAGCUGGUUCUCCCCGAAAGCUAUUUAGGUAGCGCCUCGUGAAUUCAUCUCCGGGGGUAGAGCACUGUUUCGGCAAGGGGGUCAUCCCGACUUACCAACCCGAUGCAAACUGCGAAUACCGGAGAAUGUUAUCACGGGAGACACACGGCGGGUGCUAACGUCCGUCGUGAAGAGGGAAACAACCCAGACCGCCAGCUAAGGUCCCAAAGUCAUGGUUAAGUGGGAAACGAUGUGGGAAGGCCCAGACAGCCAGGAUGUUGGCUUAGAAGCAGCCAUCAUUUAAAGAAAGCGUAAUAGCUCACUGGUCGAGUCGGCCUGCGCGGAAGAUGUAACGGGGCUAAACCAUGCACCGAAGCUGCGGCAACGACACUGUGUGUUGUUGGGUAGGGGAGCGUUCUGUAAGCCUGUGAAGGUGUGCUGUGAGGCAUGCUGGAGGUAUCAGAAGUGCGAAUGCUGACAUAAGUAACGAUAAAGCGGGUGAAAAGCCCGCUCGCCGGAAGACCAAGGGUUCCUGUCCAACGUUAAUCGGGGCAGGGUGAGUCGACCCCUAAGGCGAGGCCGAAAGGCGUAGUCGAUGGGAAACAGGUUAAUAUUCCUGUACUUGGUGUUACUGCGAAGGGGGGACGGAGAAGGCUAUGUUGGCCGGGCGACGGUUGUCCCGGUUUAAGCGUGUAGGCUGGUUUUCCAGGCAAAUCCGGAAAAUCAAGGCUGAGGCGUGAUGACGAGGCACUACGGUGCUGAAGCAACAAAUGCCCUGCUUCCAGGAAAAGCCUCUAAGCAUCAGGUAACAUCAAAUCGUACCCCAAACCGACACAGGUGGUCAGGUAGAGAAUACCAAGGCGCUUGAGAGAACUCGGGUGAAGGAACUAGGCAAAAUGGUGCCGUAACUUCGGGAGAAGGCACGCUGAUAUGUAGGUGAAGUCCCUCGCGGAUGGAGCUGAAAUCAGUCGAAGAUACCAGCUGGCUGCAACUGUUUAUUAAAAACACAGCACUGUGCAAACACGAAAGUGGACGUAUACGGUGUGACGCCUGCCCGGUGCCGGAAGGUUAAUUGAUGGGGUCAGCGCAAGCGAAGCUCUUGAUCGAAGCCCCGGUAAACGGCGGCCGUAACUAUAACGGUCCUAAGGUAGCGAAAUUCCUUGUCGGGUAAGUUCCGACCUGCACGAAUGGCGUAAUGAUGGCCAGGCUGUCUCCACCCGAGACUCAGUGAAAUUGAACUCGCUGUGAAGAUGCAGUGUACCCGCGGCAAGACGGAAAGACCCCGUGAACCUUUACUAUAGCUUGACACUGAACAUUGAGCCUUGAUGUGUAGGAUAGGUGGGAGGCUUUGAAGUGUGGACGCCAGUCUGCAUGGAGCCGACCUUGAAAUACCACCCUUUAAUGUUUGAUGUUCUAACGUGGACCCGUGAUCCGGGUUGCGGACAGUGUCUGGUGGGUAGUUUGACUGGGGCGGUCUCCUCCUAAAGAGUAACGGAGGAGCACGAAGGUUGGCUAAUCCUGGUCGGACAUCAGGAGGUUAGUGCAAUGGCAUAAGCCAGCUUGACUGCGAGCGUGACGGCGCGAGCAGGUGCGAAAGCAGGUCAUAGUGAUCCGGUGGUUCUGAAUGGAAGGGCCAUCGCUCAACGGAUAAAAGGUACUCCGGGGAUAACAGGCUGAUACCGCCCAAGAGUUCAUAUCGACGGCGGUGUUUGGCACCUCGAUGUCGGCUCAUCACAUCCUGGGGCUGAAGUAGGUCCCAAGGGUAUGGCUGUUCGCCAUUUAAAGUGGUACGCGAGCUGGGUUUAGAACGUCGUGAGACAGUUCGGUCCCUAUCUGCCGUGGGCGCUGGAGAACUGAGGGGGGCUGCUCCUAGUACGAGAGGACCGGAGUGGACGCAUCACUGGUGUUCGGGUUGUCAUGCCAAUGGCACUGCCCGGUAGCUAAAUGCGGAAGAGAUAAGUGCUGAAAGCAUCUAAGCACGAAACUUGCCCCGAGAUGAGUUCUCCCUGACCCUUUAAGGGUCCUGAAGGAACGUUGAAGACGACGACGUUGAUAGGCCGGGUGUGUAAGCGCAGCGAUGCGUUGAGCUAACCGGUACUAAUGAACCGUGAGGCUUAACCUU